UGCCAGCAGCCGCGGUAAUACGGAGGGUGCAAGCGUUAAUCGGAAUUACUGGGCGUAAAGCGCACGUAGGCGGACUUUUAAGUCAGGGGUGAAAUCCCGGAGCUCAACUCCGGAACUGCCUUUGAUACUGGAAGUCUUGAGUCCGAGAGAGGUGAGUGGAACUCCGAGUGUAGAGGUGAAAUUCGUAGAUAUUCGGAGGAACACCAAUGGCGAAGGCAACUUCCUGGACCAAAACUGACGCUGAGGUGCGAAAGCGUGGGUAGCAAACAGGAUUAGAUA
rnacentral:rRNA from 1 species